AGCAGGCUGCAUCGCCUUUGUGCGGAGGCAGGCGGAGGAGCUGACACCGGCCAAGAGCAGAACCAGUAGGAGUGAGUUGGAGAAGCGAGGUUUACAAAUUUUUCUAAGGAGGACUGUUGAUUGGAACAAAAAGGAGAUUGUGAGCCAGGUGAUUUCAACUGGAGUGAUGGCGAUCAAUUGAUCAGUAGGAGAACUGAAAGAUCAGAGGAAACUGAAAGACAAAGUUCAAGCGCAGGAUGUCCCCGCCAAACCUGGACGCUUGUCACCGGGAGUCAAGGCAGCUGAAGGCCGCGGGGCCGAGGGUGUGCCCAGCUCCCGGAGAGAAUGAGAGCAGAAUUAUUUGAAUCGUAAGCUCGGGGCCAGAAGAACCACGAGAGUAACUCUGAACAGAUGAAAACUGACCAUCUUGGACAAUGGAACGAAGAAGCAGCCAGAGAGGCGCCAGAAUUUAGCGCGUGCAACUGCGGUGCAGAUGCCGCAGGCAAGGCCUUCCCAGAGAGUCAUCUUGCAGAUAGCUGUCCUAGGUCCCCGUGGUGGCAACUUACUAAAGUCACUGUCGAAGGCUUGCCUCUUCUCCUGGGGGGGGGGGGGCAGGGGAGGGGACGCUCCGCGAGCAGAAUUCCAACUCCCAGAAGAGAGCCAAAAGUCAAGACAAGUAGCCCCACGAGGAAUACGCUUCAGAGAGCCUUUCUUCUUUCCUCUUUUCUUUUCCAAACGAAAUCUAAUACUAUCUGGCUGCAAAAAUAUAUAUCACCGGCUCUGAGUCUGAAAGAUUAACAUUGGGAUACGUAGGAAAUGUAAUCUGCAUGGCUAAUUGAUUCUCAGCGUAUCAGUUUAAAGGAUAAAGAUCGAUAUCUGCAUAUGAUGGAUACUGUAUUAAUAGGGACAUAAAUAAAGGCCGAAGAGUCGUUACUGGAA
rnacentral:lncRNA from 1 species